UACGUAGGGUGCGAGCGUUCAUCGGCAUUACUGGGCGUAAAGCGUGCGCAGGCGGUUUGCUAAGACAGGUGUGAAAGCCCCGGGCUUAACCUGGGAAUUGCGCUUGUGACUGGCAGACUGGAGUGUGGCAGAGGGGGGUGGAAUUCCACGUGUAGCAGUGAAAUGCGUAGAGAUGUGGAGGAACACCGAUGGCGAAGGCAGCCCCCUGGGCUAACACUGACGCUCAUGCACGAAAGCGUGGGGAGCAAACAGG
rnacentral:rRNA from 1 species